GCCAGUGUGGUACAAUGGUUUGAGCUUUGGACCAUAAUUUUGGAGACUAGGGUUCAAAUCCCCACUCAGCCA